rnacentral:rRNA from 1 species
AGUCGAACGGCAGCACGGGAGCAAUCCUGGUGGCGAGUGGCGAACGGGUGAGUAAUACAUCGGAACGUGUCCUGGAGUGGGGGAUAGCCCGGCGAAAGCCGGAUUAAUACCGCAUACGCUCUAUGGAGGAAAGCGGGGGAUCUUUCGGGACCUCGCGCUCAAGGGGCGGCCGAUGGCAGAUUAGCUAGUUGGUGGGGUAAAGGCCUACCAAGGCGACGAUCUGUAGCUGGUCUGAGAGGACGACCAGCCACACUGGGACUGAGACACGGCCCAGACUCCUACGGGAGGCAGCAGUGGGGAAUUUUGGACAAUGGGCGCAAGCCUGAUCCAGCAAUGCCGCGUGUGUGAAGAAGGCCUUCGGGUUGUAAAGCACUUUUGUCCGGAAAGAAAACCUCUGGGUUAAUACCCCGGGGGGAUGACGGUACCGGAAGAAUAAGCACCGGCUAACUACGUGCCAGCAGCCGCGGUAAUACGUAGGGUGCGAGCGUUAAUCGGAAUUACUGGGCGUAAAGCGUGCGCAGGCGGUUCGUUAAGACAGAUGUGAAAUCCCCGGGCUUAACCUGGGAACUGCAUUUGUGACUGGCGGGCUAGAGUAUGGCAGAGGGGGGUAGAAUUCCACGUGUAGCAGUGAAAUGCGUAGAGAUGUGGAGGAAUACCGAUGGCGAAGGCAGCCCCCUGGGCCAAUACUGACGCUCAUGCACGAAAGCGUGGGGAGCAAACAGGAUUAGAUACCCUGGUAGUCCACGCCCUAAACGAUGUCAACUAGUUGUUGGGGAUUCAUUUCCUUAGUAACGUAGCUAACGCGUGAAGUUGACCGCCUGGGGAGUACGGC